AUGGACAAGCUCCUGGAGGCAUCAUUGUUGAUUCUGUGGCUUCAGCCAUACUGGGUGAACAGUCAACAGAAAAAUGGUGAGCAGCAACAAGUUAAACAAAAUUCUCCAUCCCUAAGUGUGCAACAAGGAGAAAUUUCUAUUCUGAACUGUGACUACAAUAAUAAUGUAUUUGAUUACUUCCUAUGGUACAGAAAAUACUCUGUUAAAGGUCCUGAACCCCUGAUAUCAAUACGCUCAGUUGCGGAUAAAAAGGAAGAUGGAAGAUUCACAGUCUUCUUCAACAAAAGUGCCAAACACCUCUCUCUGCACAUUGCAGCCUCCCAACCUGGAGACUCUGCCUUGUACCUCUGUGCAGCAAGUGCACAGUGCUCUCCAGGCACCUGCAGCCUGUACCCAAACCUGCAGCUGUGUCCAAGCCAACCCCUACUUUUUGGGUCUCAGACUGAAAGGCAUGCAGACUUGCUUCCAUUUACAGUUGGCGGGAAGAGAGGGUUUGCUUUAAAGUAG